CUUGAUCGACCCCAACCACAGCGGUUGGCUGCGGUCCUGGCCGUAGGUGGCCAGGAGCGCCUGCGCCUC
rnacentral:antisense_RNA from 1 species